AUUAAACGCUGGCGGCAUGCCUUACACAUGCAAGUCGAACGGCAGCACGGGGGCAACCCUGGUGGCGAGUGGCGAACGGGUGAGUAAUACAUCGGAACGUGCCCAGUCGUGGGGGAUAACGUAGCGAAAGCUACGCUAAUACCGCAUACGAUCUCUGGAUGAAAGCGGGGGACCGCAAGGCCUCGCGCGAUUGGAGCGGCCGAUGGCAGAUUAGGUAGUUGGUGGGGUAAAGGCUCACCAAGCCGACGAUCUGUAGCUGGUCUGAGAGGACGACCAGCCACACUGGGACUGAGACACGGCCCAGACUCCUACGGGAGGCAGCAGUGGGGAAUUUUGGACAAUGGGCGAAAGCCUGAUCCAGCCAUUCCGCGUGCAGGAUGAAGGCCCUCGGGUUGUAAACUGCUUUUGUACGGAACGAAACGGUCCUGGUUAAUACCUGGGGCUAAUGACGGUACCGUAAGAAUAAGCACCGGCUAACUACGUGCCAGCAGCCGCGGUAAU
rnacentral:rRNA from 1 species